CGGUGCUAGCGUCCAUCCUUCCAGCCUCCCAUCAUGGCGGAUAAAAACACCAGGAUCGCCAUCGUCAACCACGACAAAUGCAAACCUAAAAAAUGUCGUCAGGAGUGCAAGAAGAGCUGCCCGGUGGUCCGCAUGGGUAAGCUGUGUAUCGAGGUGACUCCUCAGAGUAAGAUCGUCUGGAUCUCUGAGUCUCUGUGUAUAGGCUGCGGCAUCUGCAUCAA